rnacentral:rRNA from 1 species
GACGAACGCUGGCGGCGUGCUUAACACAUGCAAGUCGAACGGAGUGGCGAACGGGUGAGUAACACGUGGGUGACCUUCCCUGCACUUCGGGAUAAGCCUGGGAAACUGGGUCUAAUACCGGCUAGUGUGGGAUGGGCCCGCGGCCUAUGAGCUUGUUGUUGGGGUAGUGGCCGACCAAGGCGGCGACGGGUAGCCGGCCUGAGAGGGUGGACGGCCACAUGGGGACUGAGACACGGAGCAGACGACUACGGGGGGCAGCAGGGGGGAAUAUUGCACAAUGGGGGGAAGCCUAAUGCAGAGGCGCCGCGUGGGGGAUGUAGGCCUUCGGGGUGGAAACGCCUUUAACCAUCGACGCGGUAGAGGGAGAAGAAGCACCGGCUAACUACGUGCCAGCCGCCGCGGUAAUAC